CCUACGGGAGGCAGCAGUAAGGAAUAUUGGACAAUGGACGCAAGUCUGAUCCAGCCAUGCCGCGUGAAGGAUUAAGGUCCUCUGGAUUGUAAACUUCUUUUAUAAGGGACGAAAAAAGGCUUUUCUAAGUCGUCUGACGGUACCUUAUGAAUAAGCACCGGCUAACUCCGUGCCAGCAGC
rnacentral:rRNA from 1 species